rnacentral:lncRNA from 1 species
AUGCGCCACGGUGAAGCGCCGCUGCAGGCGGAUGCUCUGGUUCACCAGCAGCUUCCUGAAGAGCACGGGGGAAUUGCGGGGGGACCCCCGGGGGGACCCCACGGGCGAAGCCCCCGGGGAGGGCAGCAUGGCCCCGCUCAGGGCGCUCUGGGGUCCGUCCCCAUGGGCUCAGCAGCGGUGGUGGGGGGACGGGGAGCCGAGCGGCGGGGACCCGCUGCCCGCCGCCGAGGAGCAGGAAACGCGCGGCUGCCCCAACCCUGGCGGCCCCGGGAAAGUUUCCAUCCCCCUCCCGCCCGCGCCUGGGAAAUUAAACAACUGUCUGGCUCGGGCAGACCCCCCCCUACACACCACACACCACACACACACACACACACAGCGUCCCGUUUGGCUCCAUCAAUCCCGUCCCGUGUGUGUGCGUGGCCGGCUCGCCGGGCACGUGGCCACCACCCCUUGGACCCGUGCCCCGGGGCGCUGCGCUGUCCCCUCGGUGGUGGCAGCUGUGGCCAGAAGGGUGAGGAUGCUCGGCCCGGCCACGUGCGGCAACACCACGAGCGCCACGGCCACGUGGGGAGGUUGCCGAGGGGCUCGGCGGAGCCUGGAGCAAGGUGGGGGCGAGGUGAGGGCACGGCGCGGUGCCACCGAGGGGCGCGGUGCCACCAAGGGGCACGGCUGAGCCUGGAGCAGCCCGGGUGGCUGCGGUGGCCGUGCCGUGGUGCCAUCGAGCCGCACGGCUCAGCCCCAAGGACCCCAAACACGUGGAGGGGCCACCGAGAGCCAAAACCAAACCCCAGGUACCCCAGGCGCACAACACGGGCACAUCACCGUGCCCCCAAGGGCCGCGGCUCCACCUGGAUACACCGUGUGGCCGCACCACGGGGCCACCAAGGGACCAAACCUACCCCCACGUCCCCCCCCGUGUCCCCCAGCUGCUCCUGGCCACCCAGUUUGGGGACGUGGAGCGGGCUGGGACCCACCAGGGCUGCCCCGCAUCGCCCCGGGCUGGCCGUGGGAGCCGGGUGCCCCCCAGCCCGACCCCGCGGCCCCGCUGACGCAGCCGGAUACCUGCUGUCCCCGGCGGAGGCAAAAAUAUCCCGCAGCUGGCAGGGACCCAAGCAGGGCCCCCCCGGCACGGUGGCACCCCCGGGAGCCCCGAGACCAUCGGGUGGGGGUCCCGGUGUUGGGGACCCGCCGCCUCGCAGCACGGGGACAUCGGGAGGGUGUUGUGCCAUCGGGGCGCAAAGGGUAGCAGGGGGGGGGACGUCAGGGUGGGGACAGAGCUGUCCCCGCCUGGCAGCCAGGAGCCCGUGGGACAGCCAGGGCUGGGCAGGAGCGGCCGCAGGACAGCCUGUCCCUGUCCCCAGGACAGCCAGUCCCUGUCCCCUGCGGGGCCGCGGCUGUCCCCAGCAGGGACACGUGUCCGCGCAGGGGGUGGACAGCAGGUGA